UUCGGAUUGCAGUCUGCAACUCGACUGCAUGAAGCCGGAAUCGCUAGUAAUCGCGGAUCAGAAUGCCGCGGUGAAUACGUUCCCGGGUCUUGUACACACCGCCCGUCACACCAUGGGAGUCGGAAAUGCCCGAAGCCGGUGGCCUAACCGAUAAGGGAGGAGCCGUCGAAGGCAGGUCUGAUGACUGGGGUGAAGUCGUAACAAGGUAAC
rnacentral:rRNA from 1 species